GCCGGGUGUGGUGGUGCACACCUGUAGUCCCAGCUACUCAGGAGGCUGAGGCAGGAGGAUUACUUGAACCCAGGAGUUCGAGGCUGCAGUGAGCCGUGAUUGUGCCACUGCAUUCCAGCCUGGGCAACAGAGUGAGACAUCGUCUUUA
rfam:Homo sapiens chromosome 6, GRCh38 reference primary assembly.